AUCUUCACAGAACCAGUCUGAAAGACCCCCGGAGCAGGGAGACCCUCACUCAAGUCUCGGGAUGAUGCGACCCCCCCAAGAACUCACACAAGACU
rnacentral:pre_miRNA from 14 species